rnacentral:rRNA from 1 species
GAUGAACGCUGGCGGCGUGCCUAAUACAUGCGAGUCGAGCGAACAGACGAGGAGCUUGCUCCUCUGACGUUAGCGGCGGACGGGUGAGUAACACGUGGAUAACCUACCUAUAAGACUGGGAUAACUUCGGGAAACCGGAGCUAAUACCGGAUAAUAUAUUGAACCGCAUGGUUCAAUAGUGAAAGACGGUUUUGCUGUCACUUAUAGAUGGAUCCGCGCCGCAUUAGCUAGUUGGUAAGGUAACGGCUUACCAAGGCGACGAUGCGUAGCCGACCUGAGAGGGUGAUCGGCACACUGGAACUGAGACACGGUCCAGACUCCUACGGGAGGCAGCAGUAGGGAAUCUUCCGCAAUGGGCGAAAGCCUGACGGAGCAACGCCGCGUGAGUGAUGAAGGUCUUCGGAUCGUAAAACUCUGUUAUUAGGGAAGAACAAAUGUGUAAGUAACUAUGCACGUCUUGACGGUACCUAAUCAGAAAGCCACGGCUAACUACGUG